GACGAACGCUGGCGGCGUGCUUAACACAUGCAAGUCGAACGGAAAGGCCCUGCUUUUGUGGGGUGCUCGAGUGGCGAACGGGUGAGUAACACGUGAGUAACCUGCCCUUGACUUUGGGAUAACUUCAGGAAACUGGGGCUAAUACCGGAUAGGAGCUCCUGCUGCAUGGUGGGGGUUGGAAAGUUUCGGCGGUUGGGGAUGGACUCGCGGCUUAUCAGCUUGUUGGUGGGGUAGUGGCUUACCAAGGCUUUGACGGGUAGCCGGCCUGAGGGGGUGACCGGCCACAUUGGGACUGAGAUACGGCCCGGACUCCUACGGGAGGCAGCAGUGGGGAAUAUUGCACAAUGGGCGGAAGCCUGAUGCAGCAACGCCGCGUGCGGGAUGACGGCCUUCGGAUUGUAAACCGCUUUCGCCUGUGACGAAGCGUGAGUGACGGUAAUGGGUAAAGAAGCACCGGCUAACUACGUG
rnacentral:rRNA from 1 species